rnacentral:misc_RNA from 1 species
AUAACACUGCAUUUAACAGUCAAUUCUGUAACCUAAUGGAGGAAAUGUUAUAUAGUUUCUGAGGUCAAGUCCUUACACUUCAGAGAUAAAUCAAUCUUAAAUGUGCAUUUUUCUUUUAUUUUAUUUCUACAAAUUAAUGAUAGUACAGUGAUUUUCAAGACUCCUAUGAAUUAAGAGCAGAUUGGUAAUUUUUAAUAGAGUUUACUGAGCCAACAGUACCAGAAUGAAACCUUAAAAAGGUCCCAAUCCUCAAAUGUUCACGGAAAAUCCCAUGACAAGAUAUUAUGCUAACUAUAAAAUACAAAACCUUCAUCCAGAAUAGCAAUCAUCACAAAAGAAAAUAGAACUUAAUGAUCAACAUUUUGGUUUUCAUUUACGUAUUUUCCAAUUCAAAGCCAUUA